CCUACGGGGGGCAGCAGUAGGGAAUCUUCCACAAUGGGGGAAACCCUGAUGCAGCGACGCCGCGUGAGUGAAGAAGUAUUUCGGUAUGUAAAGCUCUAUCAGCAGGGAAGAUAAUGACGGUACCUGAGUAAGAAGCCCCGGCUAACUACGUGCCAGCAGCCGCGGUAAUACGUAGGGGGCAAGCGUUAUCCGGAUUUACUGGGUGUAAAGGGAGCGUAGACGGCAUGGCAAGUCUGAAGUGAAAGCCCGG
rnacentral:rRNA from 1 species